GAGAAUCAGGCAAGACCCAUAACUCUACAGGAGGAGAAUCAGGUUAGACCCAUAACUCUACAGGAGGAGAAUCAGGUUAGACCCAUAACUCUACAGGAGGAGAAGAAUCAGGUUAGACCCAUUACUCUCCAGGAGGAUAAUCAUGUUAGACCCAUAACUCUACAGGAGGAGAAUCAGGUUAGAGCCAAUGCAUGCAUACCCAUAACUCUACAGGAGGAAAAUCAGGUUAGACCCAUAACUCUACAGGAGGAGAAUCAGGUUAGACCCAUAACUCUACAGGAGGAAAAUCAGGUUAGACCCAUAACUCUACAGGAGGAGAAUCAGGUUAGACCCAUAACUCUACAGGAUGAGUAUCAGGUUAGACCCACAACUCUACAGGAUGAGUAUCAGGUUAGACCCACAACUCUACAGGAGGAGAAGAAUCAGGUUAGACCCAUAACUCUACAGGAUGAGUAUCAGGUUAGACCCAUAACUCUACAGGAUGAGUAUCAGGUUAGACCCAUAACUCUACAGGAGGAAAAUCAGGUUAGACCCAUAACUCUACAGGAGGAAAAUCAGGUUAGACCCAUAACUCUACAGGAGGAGAAUCAGGUUAGACCCAUUACUCUCCAGGAGGAUAAUCAUGUUAGACCCAUAACUCUACAGGAGGAGAAUCAGGUUAGAGCCAAUGCAUGCAUACCCAUAACUCUACAGGAGGAGAAUCAGGUUAGACCCAUAACUCUACAGGAGGAAAAUCAGGUUAGACCCAUAACUCUACAGGAGGAGAAUCAGGUUAGACCCAUAACUCUACAGGAGGAGAAUCAGGUUAGACCCAUAACUCUACAGGAGGAAAAUCAGGUUAGACCCAUUACUCUCCAGGAGGAUAAUCAUGUUAGACCCAUAACUCUACAGGAGGAUAAUCAUGUUAGACCCAUAACUCUACAGGAGGUAUAUCAGGUUAGACCCAUAACUCUACAGAAGGUAUAUCAGGUUAGACCCAUAACUCUAGAGGAGGAGAAUCAGGUUAGACCCACAACUCUACAGGAGGAGAAUCAGGUUAGACCCAUAACUCUACAGGAGGAGAAUCAGGUUAGACCCACAACUAUACAGGAGGUAUUUCAGGUUAGACCCAUAACUCUACAGGAGGAGAAUCAGGUUAGACCCAUUACUCUCCAGGAGGAUAAUCAUGUUAGACCCAUAACUCUACAGGAGGAUAAUCAUGUUAGACCCAUAACUCUACAGGAGGUAUAUCAGGUUAGACCCAUAACUCUACAGAAGGUAUAUCAGGUUAGACCCAUAACUCUAGAGGAGGAGAAUCAGGUUAAACCCACAACUCUACAGGAGGAGAAUCAGGUUAGACCCAUAACUCUACAGGAGGAGAAUCAGGUUAGACCCACAACUAUACAGGAGGUAUUUCAGGUUAGACCCAUAACUCUACAGGAGGAGAAUCAGGUUAGAUCCAUAACUCUACAGGAGGAGAAUCAGGUUAGACCCAUAACUAUACAGGAGGUAAAUUAG
rnacentral:lncRNA from 1 species